rnacentral:rRNA from 1 species
GACGAACGCUGGCGGCGUGCUUAACACAUGCAAGUCGAACGGAAAGGCCCUGCUUUUGUGGGGUGCUCGAGUGGCGAACGGGUGAGUAACACGUGAGUAACCUGCCCUUGACUUUGGGAUAACUUCAGGAAACUGGGGCUAAUACCGGAUAGGAGCUCCUGCUGCAUGGUGGGGGUUGGAAAGUUUCGGCGGUUGGGGAUGGACUCGCGGCUUAUCAGCAUGUUGGUGGGGUAGUGGCUUACCAAGGCUUUGACGGGUAGCCGGCCUGAGAGGGUGACCGGCCACAUUGGGACUGAGAUACGGCCAAGACUCCUACGGGAGGCAGCAGUGGGGAAUAUUGCACAAUGGGCGGAAGCCUGAUGCAGCAACGCCGCGUGCGGGAUGACGGCCUUCGGGUUGUAACCCGCUUUCGCCUGUGACGAAGCGUGAGUGACGGUAAUGGGUAAAGAAGCACCGGCUAACUACGUG